rnacentral:rRNA from 1 species
UACGAAGGGGGCUAGCGCUGCUCGGAAUCACUGGGCGUAAAGGGUGUGUAGGCGGCCCUCUAAGUUUGGUGUGAAAUCUCCCGGCUCAACUGGGAGGGUGCGCCGAAUACUGAAGGGCUAGAGUGCGGGAGAGGAGAGUGGAAUUCCUGGUGUAGCGGUGAAAUGCGUAGAUAUCCGGAGGAACACCAGUGGCGAAAGCGGCCACCUGGACUGCACCUGACGCUGACACGCGAAAGCUAGGGGAGCGAACGGG